GAGAGAGAGAUAGAGAGAAAGAAAAAGAAGGACGGAGAGGAAGAGAGAGAAAGAGAGAUAGUCGCUUCUAGGUCAGUGUGGUGUUCACGUCAGUUGCAGUCCUCUCUCUCUCCCUCUCUCCCUCCCUCGACUCCCAAAUAACGCCCUCCCAAAAGAAGCCUAGUAUGUGAAUCGAGUCCCCAUAUUCUUAGUGCUGUGGUGAAGUGAGACGUUACCAUACAGAGGCCUUGGAAGAGAGAGAGGGAUAGAUAGUGGUUGAUGUGAAGAAGGAGGAAAAAAAAAGAAGAAAAAAAUGAUAAUGUUUUGGCAUUUACCUUGAAGUGCGUGGAAUUUGAGGUGAAUACUGUCUCGGUAAAACUACAAGAGGAGAGACUAGAGGGGGCGAGUCGGGAGAAUGGACGAGGACAGAGUGAGAAGACUGGCGGUGUUAGUGCUUCUGUGUAGCGUGUUUCUGGUUACCUCAUGGAUUGAAGACCUCGCCUAUACCAUGCAGGACACGAGAACUCCCGCUGGAAAGAUGGCCGGGAGGAAAGUAGCAAGAUCAGAGGGGAUGGAAGGCGGGAAGGAGAGAAGAGGAGGAAGGAAAGGUGAUUACAGUACCUCCAUACACGAGGAAGAGGAAGGAGAGGAGGAGGAGGAGGAAAGGGAGGAAGAAGCUGAUUAUAUUAAAAAGUUUAAAGCGAAAUCACGUUUGUACGUUCGCACCUCCUCCUUCCACCUCGAUCUGUACUCCUGCUUACCUCGCUUCAUCUGUGAGCUCCACGCGCAGGCCCCGGGAGCCGACCUGACGGAUUUCGAAAAGGAUGUGCUCAAUUUGUUUAGGAACCACGUGGUGUUGGAAGGGCCCGGCUCCCCUGCCUACCCCUACCAGGUGGCCGCGCACAUGGGUCAGCUUUGGGUAGGGGUGGAGCCUUCCCCAUGCCACUCCAUGUACCCGUCCUGCCCCCUGUCACGUGCCCUACUUAUCGAUCUGCUGAGGAAUGUUAAAACUUCACGUAGGCUAUUCUACUGAGAGAGAGAGAGAGAGAGAGAGAGAGAGAGAGAGAGAGAGAGAGAGAGACUCAACAUUCCAAGGCAGUUUUUAUAUAAGUAAUAUUGAAAAAGAAACAAUAACAUGAUGCAGAUGUGAAACUAAAAUAAUAACAGAUAAAUGAUGAUAAUGAUAAUUGAUGUGCCUUAUGACCGUCUUUGGAAUAAGAAUAAUAAUAAUAAUAAUGAUAAUAAUAAUAAUAAUAAUAAUAAUAAUAAUAAUAAUAAUAAUAAUAAUAACAACAAUACAAUGCUCAAUAUUUGCUAACUUUAAACUCAAUAUUCUGUAUUCUGGAAUUUACAUUUUUAUUUACUUAUAUUUAACAGUGAGGUAUUAUCUGUAAACGUGUUCUUGUAUUCCAUAACGAGUGUUCCUGCUUGUCAAUACACAUAAUACAGCUUGGCUUCCUGUUUACAAGUGAGUGAUAACAAGCCUUCCUCUACAAGCAAGUAAACAAUCUCAACUGCCAAUUAACAUGUCCAGUCAUUCCGGCAAAAUACGCACGGUUAGAUAACACACAAUUCUCAACGCUUAGCUCGUGUCUGUGUGUGUGUGUAUAUAUAUGAUGUUAAUAGUUAUAAUAUGGGUAGAAUACUGUUAUGGACUUGUAUUGUGUGUGUGUGUGUGUGUGUGUGUGUGUGUGUGUGUGUGUGUGUGUGUGUGUGUGACAACGACCGUCUGACGUAGUAUAUAUUUUUCUAUACAAAAUAUUUUAAUGUUUCGUGUAACAUGACAAUGAACAGGAGAGAGAGAGAGAGAGAGAGAGAGAGAGAGAGAGAGAGAGAAUGGUUGUUUUGAAAGACAUGACCAAAUGAUAAUAAAAUGAACAAUAAUUACAGCUAUUUUUAUUAAACAAUGAUUAUUAAUAGAAAUUACGAGGAACCUCCAUUCUUUUCAUUAUCAGACCAUUACUACUACUACUACUACUGCUACUGCUACUACUACUACUACUAUUACUACUACUACUACUACUACUACUACUACUCUCUCUCUCUCUCUCUCUCUCUCUCUCUCUCUCACUGGUUCGGUACAUCAUUCAACUCGCUUCACCUUUAAUUAUCUCACCUGCAACCAUAUCACCUGUUACCUUACCCUACCAUUCCUCACCUCCUUCUCACCCUCACCCUCUCCUCACCACCCGUAGAUAAAGAUAUAUCACAAGCACAUAUAGUAACAGCAUAACGUAACACAAAGUACCUAAAGACUGUCCUCACUGAUUCGAAUCCUCCCUUGUGAACUCUUCCCUCUCCAGAUUCGGCCCUCAGUUGCUGUGGACGGGAGGAGGAGAAGGGUGUGUGUGUCUGUUGUGGCUCCGCUGUUAUUUUGUGCUUUUUCUACGAGAGCUGGAGGACUGAGAGAGCUCAUCAUCGACACAGGGAGUGAAGUCAUGAAGCACCACCAUUUUGCUGUCCGGCGAUAACCCAGCUUCCUUCUCCAGUCCGACCCUCACCAGUGUUUCUAUGGAGGCUGAACCUGUGAUGCGUCCCAAGCCCGGCGCCCUCACCACCUUCUCCUCCCCCUCCGACACAUAGCCACCAGACCCUGCCGGCGGUGGUGUGAGGCCAAGCCACCAUAGGAACAAAAACAACAUGACAAAUCCAUCGUUUAUUUAUGACACUCAAGUAUAACUUAAGCCACAGGAGUUAUGAUGUGUUAGACUGACUGGUGUGUGUGUGUGUAUAUGAGAGCUGAACCACAUAUCGUUGAACACACACACACACACACACACACAUCUCAAAAUGA